UGGGGAAUAUUGCACAAUGGGCGCAAGCCUGAUGCAGCCAUGCCGCGUGUAUGAAGAAGGCCUUCGGGUUGUAAAGUACUUUCAGCGGGGAGGAAGGUGUUGAGGCUAAUAACCUCAGCAAUUGACGUUACCCGCAGAAGAAGCACCGGCUAACUCCGUGCCAGCAGCCGCGGUAAUACGGAGGGUGCAAGCGUUAAUCGGAAUUACUGGGCGUAAAGCGCACGCAGGCGGUCUGUCAAGUCGGAUGUGAAAUCCCCGGGCUCAACCUGGGAACUGCAUUCGAAACUGGCAGGCUAGAGGCUUGUAGAGGGGGGUAGAAUUCCAGGUGUAGCGGUGAAAUGCGUAGAGAUCUGGAGGAAUACCGGUGGCGAAGGCGGCCCCCUGGACAAAGACUGACGCUCAGGUGCGAAAGCGUGGGGAGCAAACA
rnacentral:rRNA from 1 species